rnacentral:rRNA from 1 species
GAUGAACGCUGGCGGCGUGCCUAAUACAUGCAAGUCGAGCGAACAGACGAGGAGCUUGCUCCUCUGACGUUAGCGGCGGACGGGUGAGUAACACGUGGAUCCCCUCCCUAUAAGACUGGGAUAACUUCGGGAAACCGGAUCUAAUCCCGGAUAAUCUAUUGAACCGCAUGGUUCAAUAGUGAAAGACGGUUUUGCUGUCACUUAUAGAUGGAUCCGCGCCGCAUUAGCUAGUUGGUACGGUAACGGCUUACCAAGGCAACGAUGCGUAGCCGACGUGCGAGGGUGAUCGGCCACACUGGAACGGGACCACGGUCCAUACGCCUACGGGAGGCAGCAGUAGGGAAUGUGCCGCAGUGGGCGAAAGCCUUGCGCAGCAACGCCGAGUGAGUGAUGAAGGUCUUCGGAUCGUAAAACUCUGUUAUUAGGGAAGAACAAAUGUGUAAGUAACUAUGCACGUCUUGACGGUACCUAAUCAGAAAGCCACGGCUAACUACGUG